rnacentral:rRNA from 1 species
GACGAACGCUGGCGGCGUGCCUAAUACAUGCAAGUUGAGCGCUGAAGGUUGGUACUUGUACCAACUGGAUGAGCAGCGAACGGGUGAGUAACGCGUGGGGAAUCUGCCUUUGAGCGGGGGACAACAUUUGGAAACGAAUGCUAAUACCGCAUAAAAACUUUAAACACAAGUUUUAAGUUUGAAAGAUGCAAUUGCAUCACUCAAAGAUGAUCCCGCGUUGUAUUAGCUAGUUGGUGAGGUAAAGGCUCACCAAGGCGAUGAUACAUAGCCGACCUGAGAGGGGGAUCGGCCCAAUUGGGACUGAGACACGGCCCAAACUCCUACGGGAGGCAGCAGUAGGGAAUCUUCGGCAAUGGACGAAAGUCUGACCGAGCAACGCCGCGUGAGUGAAGAAGGUUUUCGGAUCGUAAAACUCUGUUGGUAGAGAAGAACGUUGGUGAGAGUGGAAAGCUCAUCAAGUGACGGUAACUACCCAGAAAGGGACGGCUAACUACGUG